CGUGUCGCGCAUAUCUGCAUAUCAAUAAGCGGAGGAAAAGAAACUAACAAGGAUUCCCUUAGUAACGGCGAGUGAAGCGGGAAGAGCUCGAAUUUGAAAUCUUCAAGGUUCUACCUUGACGAAUUGUAGUUUAAAGAAGUGUUUUCUGUUAGAUGAGUAGCAAAAGUUCCUUGGAAUAGGGACAUCAUAGAGGGUGAGAAUCCCGUAUUUGGUUAUUCAUUCUAGCUUUGUGAUACACUUUCAAAGAGUCGGAUUGUUUGGGAAUGCAGUCCAAAAUGGGUGGUAAAUUUCAUCUAAAGCUAAAUAUUGGCGAGAGACCGAUAGCGAACAAGUACCGUGAGGGAAAGAUGAAAAGAACUUUGAAAAGAGAGUUAAACAGUACGUGAAAUUGUCAAAAGGGAAGCGUUUGACACCAGUGUUGUUUUUCCGAAAAUCAAUUACGAAUGGCUUGAUUUUGUGUUGUAUUGACCUUAUCAGCUUUCUGCACUUUUUUCGAGUCUUUCUUAAUGCACUUUUCGGUUAACAAGUCAACAUCAAUUUCUUUUGUUGUAAAAGAGUAUUCGGAAGGUGGCUUUCUUUUCGGAGAAAGUGUUUAUAGCCCUAUACUUCUACAAUCGGAGAGAUUGAGGUCUGCAGCGUAGAUCCUUCGGGGUUAGAUACACUUUGUGCUAAGUUGUAGCUUCUCAUAGACAACUUGUUGACUAUGUUUAGUCAUGCGGCUUACUCGCUUAUGCUAUUUUACCUACGCUUAGGAUGUUGAAGAUAUGCGCGACACG
rnacentral:rRNA from 1 species